rnacentral:rRNA from 1 species
GAGCGGCCGUAGCAAUACGGCAGCGGCAGACGGGAGAGUAACACGUGGGAACGUACCCUUCGGUUCGGAAUAACUCAGGGAAACUUGAGCUAAUACCGGAUACGUCCGUAAGGAGAAAGAUUUAUCGCCGAGGGAUCGGCCCGCGUCCGAUUAGCUAGUUGGUGGGGUAAUGGCCCACCAAGGCGACGAUCAGUAGCUGGUCUGAGAGGAUGAUCAGCCACAUUGGGACUGAGACACGGCCCAAACUCCUACGGGAGGCAGCAGUGGGGAAUAUUGGACAAUGGGCGCAAGCCUGAUCCAGCCAUGCCGCGUGAGUGAUGAAGGCCCUAGGGUUGUAAAGCUCUUUUGUGCGGGAAGAUAAUGACGGUACCGCAAGAAUAAGCCCCGGCUAACUUCGUG